rnacentral:rRNA from 1 species
UACGGGGGGGGCAAGCGUUGUUCGGAAUUACUGGGCGUAAAGGGCUCGUAGGCGGCCAACUAAGUCAUGCGUGAAAUCCCUCGGCUUAACCGGGGAACUGCAUCUGAUACUGGAUGGCUUGAGUUCGGGAGAGGGAUGCGGAAUUCCAGGUGUAGCGGUGAAAUGCGUAGAUAUCUGGAGGAACACCGGUGGCGAAGGCGGCAUCCUGGACCGACACUGACGCUGAGGAGCGAAAGCCAGGGGAGCAAACGGG